GAUGAACGCUGGCGGCGUGCCUAAUACAUGCAAGUCGAGCGAACAGACGAGGAGCUUGCUCCUCUGACGGUAGCGGCGGACGGGUGAGUAACACGUGGAUAACCUACCUAUAAGACUGGGAUAACUUCGGGAAACCGGAGCUAAUACCGGAUAAUAUAUUGAACCGCAUGGUUCAAUAGUUAAAGACGGCUUUGCUGUCACUUAUAGAUGGAUCCGCGCCGCAUUAGCUAGUUGGUAAGGUAACGGCUUACCAAGGCAACGAUGCGUAGCCGACCUGAGAGGGUGAUCGGCCACACUGGAACUGAGACACGGUCCAGACUCCUACGGGAGGCAGCAGUAGGGAAUCUUCCGCAAUGGGCGAAAGCCUGACGGAGCAACGCCGCGUGAGUGAUGAAGGUCUUCGGAUCGUAAAACUCUGUUAUUAGGGAAGAACAAAUGUGUAAGUAACUAUGCACGUCUUGACGGUACCUAAUCAGAAAGCCACGGCUAACUACGUG
rnacentral:rRNA from 1 species